UGCGUAGGCGGAUUAAUAAGUCAGUGGUGAAAACCUGCAGCUUAACUGUAGAACUGCCAUUGAUACUGUUAUUCUUGAGUACGGUCAAGGUAGGCGGAAUGUGUAAUGUAGCGGUGAAAUGCUUAGAUAUUACACAGAACACCGAUUGCGAAGGCAGCUUACUGGACCAUUACUGACGCUGAGGCACGAAAGCGUGGGGAGCGAACAGGAUUAGAUACCCUGGUAGUCA
rnacentral:rRNA from 1 species